rnacentral:lncRNA from 1 species
GAGAAUAAGGGUUUUUGAAGGAUCAGAGAGCUAGCUUCAUGCUUCGGGAGGGGGAAAAAAGACAAAGAAUUGGGUUUUUUUUCUUCAUAGGGUUUUAAGAAGACUAAGGCAAUCGUUGCUGAAGCCGAUGUGUUGUACUGGUAAAUUGGAGUUUUAAUGAAGUGGGUGUGAUUACUCUUGACUGUUUUGGGAAAUCGAAGUUACGUUUGUGAUUGAAGAAUUAAAAGGGUGUCUAUAGGAUUGAGUAUGCGGAGUGAAUGAAAUUUUUUGGGUUAAUCUAACAAGACAGUUGAUGGAUAUAAGGUCGUGAGUAUAAAGCGGUAUUGGAGAUUAGCAGAUUGAAUUG